CCUGCCCCUAGAGGCAUUACAGAUGUGACUGCUGUGUCACAUGUGUGUCAUUAGGUGGCAGAGAGAAGAGAGGCUUGUCUACAUCCAGUGCCACUGGGUGAUUGAUAGUCUGACACU
rnacentral:snoRNA from 1 species